GGGAACAAUAAAUAUGCCAACUUGCCAAGUGGGGCUCCUGCAUAUGACUAUAUAAACGAGCAAUGUUUUGUAGCAUACUCAAACUCGAAAUCAGAUCUAGAUCUAAGGAUCCCAGAAGUUGCAGAGUUCAGGAUUGGAUUUUGUCAAGUGAUCCAGAUUCAUAUUUACUGAGAGAUGGGAAAAUCUGCCAUCAAAGGAUCAGGAAAAAUUCAUGAUCCUGGGGGACCUUUGACCCUUUUCAAGUGGAACAUGAUGAUGAUGAUACUGUCAUGUGUGCCUGGUGAUUUAGUGGAUGCUUUGUUCCUUUUACAUCCCUAUCAUCAACGAGGAUAUGAAAACUCUUCUUCCCCUGCUAUAUAUGGCAGGAGUUGUGUGUUCGCCAUCCUUCGUGUACAUCCUUGCUAGUCAUGUACACGGAGUGAUGGCUUACAAAAGAGUGAUCAUUUAGAGACAGCUUGUUUCUAAAUGAUCUAUGCCCUAUAAAUCCACCAAAUGCACUUCGACUUUGGUAUAUUUUUCAACAAAAAUAUACGAAAGUUCGUGUGAUGCUUUUGAUAGGGCAUGUAAAAUUAUUAAAUGAAUUAUUGUUUUUUAUUUUAGUUUUUUUUUUUUAUUAAAUCACACCAUUCAUUCACUAUUUCACUAUGUCAGUGAGAUUUAACCAGUAAACACCAGUGUUUGUUAAGUCAACUAACAAACAAGAUUAUUGCCCUAUAAAUUCACCAAAUACUUGAUUUUGUAUCAAAUUUCUAAACCUUUUUGGCGUGGCUGCCUGGCAAAACCAAGUAUGGAUGAACAAGUGUCGGCAAGCAAUCUGCGAGCAUCUCAGAACCAUGAGCUAAGUGGAGCAGCUUCGCGUCUAGGUCUUGUUAAGUAUUUUUAACUAAUGUAACGACCAAUGUCUUGGAGCAGUCAUGAUUAAUGAAAUCAGCUUUUAUAUC